rnacentral:rRNA from 1 species
AAAAGCAGGGGAUCGUAAGGCCUUGCGCUUUUGGAGCGGCCGAUGUCUGAUUAGCUAGUUGGUGGGGUAAGGGCCUACCAAGGCGACGAUCAGUAGUUGGUCUGAGAGGACGACCAGCCACACUGGGACUGAGACACGGCCCAGACUCCUACGGGAGGCAGCAGUGGGGAAUUUUGGACAAUGGGCGCAAGCCUGAUCCAGCAAUGCCGCGUGAGUGAAGAAGGCCUUCGGGUUGUAAAGCUCUUUCAGUCGAGAAGAAAAGGCUACGGUAAAUAAUCGUAGUUCAUGACGGUACCGACAGAAGAAGCACCGGCUAACUACGUGCCAGCAGCCGCGGUAAUACGUAGGGUGCGAGCGUUAAUCGGAAUUACUGGGCGUAAAGGGUGCGCAGGCGGCUCUGUAAGUCAGAUGUGAAAUCCCCGGGCUUAACCUGGGAAUUGCGUUUGAAACUACAAAGCUAGA